GGGAGCUAAGUAAUUGUAUCAUUUAUGUGUUUAGGGGAAAAUUGAACAUUCAUUUAAAAACUUGUAUUUUUUUUCAGAACCUGCUGAUUUUACAAAUAUGGCAGCUAUGCCUCAGCAAAUUAUAAGCAAUAAUGAAUUAGUUAAUUUUCUUCUGUGAAAACUGCUAUUUGUAUCUAAAAUGAACAAAAGCUAAACGCUGCAGGACAUUUUUAUUUACAAAAACUAAAGAAUUGAAGAGCAAAUAUACAGUCUCAUGCAUUGUGCGUGUUUAGUCCCAGGAAAGGUUCACAGUGAAGAAGAGCCUGUGUGAAGUCAAUGCUGGUGCCUGUGACGGGUGUGGGAAUGGGAAAUUUUACUCUCCCCAUUGCCUCAUUACUUAGGCAGUCACAGCCAAAAAGGGACACGUUUUACAUCAGCUUAUAGGUGAGCAUGUCCCUAUUACAAAUAAUGCAUGCAGAUAUUGUGAGGCUGGAUCUGGUCUUUUGAGAACUUCAGGAAUA
rnacentral:lncRNA from 1 species